rnacentral:rRNA from 1 species
AACGUACGCUGGCGGCGCGCCUAACACAUGCAAGUCGAACGCAGUAGCAAUACUGAGUGGCGGACGGGUGAGUAACAUGUGGGAAUCUGCCUUGUGGUUCAGGACAACAUUGGGAAACCGAUGCUAAUACUGGAUAAGCCCUUACGGGGAAAGUUUUAAUGCCAUAAGAUGAGCCCGCAUUUGAUUAGUUAGUUGGUGAGGUAAUGGCUCACAAAGACAAUGAUCAAUAGCUGAUCUGAGAGGAUUAUCAGCCACACUGGGACUGAGACACGGCCCAGACUCCUACGGGAGGCAGCAGCGGGGAAUUUUGCACAAUGGAGGAAACUCUGAUGCAGCGAUGGCGCGUGAGUGAAGAAGGCCUUUGGGUUGUAAAGCUCUUUUGUAGGGGAAGAUAAUGACUGUACCCUAAGAAUAAGGUCCGGCUAACUUCGUGCCAGCCGCCGCCGUAA